rnacentral:rRNA from 1 species
GAUGAACGCUGGCGGCGUGCCUAAUACAUGCAAGUCGAGCGAACGGGCGAGAAGUUUGCUUCUCUGAUGUUAGCGGCGGACGGGUGAGUAACACGUGGAUAACCUACCUAUAAGACUGGGAUAACUUCGGGAAACCGGAGCUAAUACCGGAUGAUAUUUUGAACCGCAUGGUUCAAAAGUGAAAGACGGUCUUGCUGUCACUUAUAGAUGGAUCCGCGCUGCAUUAGCUAGUUGGUAAGGUAACGGCUUACCAAGGCAACGAUGCAUAGCCGACCUGAGAGGGUGAUCGGCCACACUGGAACUGAGACACGGUCCAGACUCCUACGGGAGGCAGCAGUAGGGAAUCUUCCGCAAUGGGCGAAAGCCUGACGGAGCAACGCCGCGUGAGUGAUGAAGGUCUUCGGAUCGUAAAACUCUGUUAUUAGGGAAGAACAUAUGUGUAAGUAACUGUGCACAUCUUGACGGUACCUAAUCAGAAAGCCACGGCUAAUUACGUG